rnacentral:rRNA from 1 species
UACAGAGGUCUCAAGCGUUGUUCGGAUUCAUUGGGCGUAAAGGGUGCGUAGGUGGCGCGGUAAGUCGGGUGUGAAAUUUCGAGGCUCAACCUCGAAACGCCACUCGAUACUGCUGUGACUGGAGUCUGGUAGAGGAGUGCGGAAUUCCUGGUGUAGCGGUGAAAUGCGCAGAUAUCAGGAGGAACACCAACGGCGAAGGCAGCACUCUGGGCCGGUACUGACGCUGAGGAGCGAAAGCGUGGGGAGCAAACAGG